UCUGUCCCAGGUCCAGAGGGCUUCCCAGUAAGGCCCAGUGAUCCCAGUGUCCCAGCAGCAAAACUGUCUGCCUCCCUUGCAAGCUGCCAGCUCCCACAGCCAUCCCCAAGCCAAAGGUGACGGAUUGCUGCCAUUACCAAGGCAAAGUCUGGUCCUUUUUUCAGCCUCAGUUUCUCCCUCUGUUAAAAGGGUUAAUAUUGCUGCCCAGCCUAUGUUACAGGGCUGAUGGGGGAUCAGACAGAACACUGGGGUGAAGACUGAACCCUGAAUACACCCAUGAGAAUCGACAGGGUGAGUCACUGGCUGGAUUCCUGUCCUUUUCUGGGCCUGCCAGUCCCCCUGCUCUCCCCAGCUGCCCCUCAGCCCCAUCUUUGUGCCUGUCUUCUGCUUAUCAGCGGAGGACUGCGGGGGAAAGAGCCACGUUUGGGGGGUUAUUAGGAUUUCAUUCCCAGCUCUGACCAGACUUGCUGUGUGACCUUGGGAAAGUCCUUUCCCUGCUCACCCCUCGGUUCCCCACCAGAGGGAGCUGAGCUGGAGGACACCAGCAUCCUGCCUUUUAUCUGCUGACACGCCUCCUGUCCACUGUACCCCUCUCUGGAUGCCGGAGAAGUGGAGGCUGGUCCCUGCCCCACAUUGAGAUGGCUCCACUGCGAAGGCCACGCCUGUGGGUGUGCAGCCAGCUGGUGUGGACCACAGGGCAUGGCGUGAUCCUGAGACAGCAGGCAGGGAGACUGGCAGACAAAGUGGCCCAGAGCCCAAUACCACCAGACAGUCAAACAUCCUGUAGAUGCAAAAAAAUCCAGACCUAAGACAAGUCCUAGGCUCCGGCAUGCAAACACACCCACGGGAAAGCAUUCUCCUGUGUGUGCGCCCAGCAAGCGCUGAUCCUGACCCCUGGGCUCCUGUCUCCCUUCAAGGGGAGACCCUUUAGGGGAUGUAUUUGCCAGACUCCCCGUGCUGGUAUCUUUGUUACUAUUUGUUUGGGGGUUUGUUUCAGUUCUUUUUUAAAAUAUGUGGCUGUGAACUUGAAUGACCACUGCUCAAACUUUCUGCUAUUGUGGGGUUGGGGGGAAGAAGGGGUGUCUGUUUUAUUCUUGG
rnacentral:lncRNA from 1 species